CUCAACAUAUGAGAUCCUCCUACAUAAGUCAUAAGCAGACAUUUCCGAGAACCAGAUCUGGAUUAUUAAUGGGAUGAUGAUGGAUCGCUCCAUGCUGCUGCUCAUAUUUCUUUCAGCAUUUGUAAAUGAGAAUGGACUGAUUCUUGGGGAAACUACAUCUGCUACUACUGUGCUGUUUACUAAGACUGACACCACUUUUCUAAAGACCACAUCAUCUGCUCCUAUGACCACCAAACCAGAAACUACCACUCCUAUUACCACUACUACCAAUCCUACUACCACCCCUGUUAUCACUACUACCACCCCUACUACCACCCCUGUUAUCACUACUACCACCCCUACUACCACCCCUGUUAUCACUACUACCACCCCUACUACCACCCCUGUUAUCACUACUACCACCACAUUAAGUGCUACGACCACCAGGUCACCCAUAACUACCACUUCAACCACUUCGUCUACAUCAACUACCAUCCCUAACCCGCUUUUGACCACUACUCAACCUACAGGUAAUACCUGUCCAGAGGAAGCACUCAAUGGUUUGACCUUCCCACUCACUGUGAUCGGUCAGAUUAGUUAUUCAACACAGCUUUGCCCUCCAGGAACAGCCAGCGCUGGUUUUCCUAAGGCCUCAGCUCAGUGUUUGAAUUUACCACUUUUCCACGCAUUUGGAGGAGUUAAACUUCUGGACUGUGGCUUGUACCUGGAGGUGUUCAAAAGCAAAGUCAACGGGACUCUGGAAGAGAAUAUGUACGUUGCCUCCAGUGUCCAGAUACUCACGUCCAAACCUGAGCAGCUGACGUCCCAGAACAUCACCUCAGCUGCUACGACUGUCAAUAACCUGCUGUCCGCCAGCAUGUUAAAUGAGUCAGUUGCAGAGUCCAUGGUGGCCACCAUCAGUCAGCUCAUGCACACUGAUAAAGACCAAUACUCUGAAGACACUUACGAUGCCCUUGAGAAGUAUUUACACUCCACACAUACCUGUCC
rnacentral:lncRNA from 1 species